GACGAACCGUGCGAACGUUAUUCGGAAUCACUGGGCUUAAAGCGCGUGUAGGCGGCCCGGCACGUCCGUCGCUGAGAUCCCCCGGCUCAACCGGGGAAGUGGCGUGGAUACGACCGGGCUGGAGGGGGGUAGGGGGAGCCGAAACUUCCGGUGGAGCGGUGAAAUGCGUUGAGAUCGGAAGGAACGCCCGUGGCGAAAGCGGGCUCCUGGACCCCACCUGACGCUGAGACGCGAAAGCCAGGGGAGCGAACGGG
rnacentral:rRNA from 1 species